rnacentral:rRNA from 1 species
CAGCUAGUUGGUAGGGUAAUGGCCUACCAAGGCGAAGAUCGGUAUCCGGCCUGAGAGGGCGCACGGACACACUGGAACUGAAACACGGUCCAGACUCCUACGGGAGGCAGCAGUGGGGAAUUUUGCGCAAUGGGGGAAACCCUGACGCAGCAACGCCGCGUGGAGGAUGAAGCUCCUUGGAGUGUAAACUCCUUUCGACCGGGACGAUAAUGACGGUACCGGUGGAAGAAGCACCGGCUAACUCUGUGCCAGCAGCCGCGGUAAUACAGAGGGUGCGAGCGUUGUUCGGAAUUAUUGGGCGUAAAGGGCGCGUAGGCGGUGCGGUAAGUCACCUGUGAAAUCCCCGGGCUUAACUCGGGGCCUGCAUGCGAAACU